ACGUAGGGUGCAAGCGUUGUCCGGAAUUACUGGGUGUAAAGGGAGCGCAGGCGGACCGGCAAGUUGGAAGUGAAAACUAUGGGCUCAACCCAUAGAUUGCUUUCAAAACUGCUGGCCUUGAGUAGUGCAGAGGUAGGUGGAAUUCCCGGUGUAGCGGUGGAAUGCGUAGAUAUCGGGAGGAACACCAGUGGCGAAGGCGACCUACUGGGCACCAACUGACGCUGAGGCUCGAAAGCAUGGGUAGCAAACAG
rnacentral:rRNA from 1 species